AAACUCCGAAUACCUUAUAUGUAAUCACAGCAGUCAGGCGGCGAGUGAUAAAAUCCGUCGUCAAGAGGGAAACAACCCAGACUACCAGCUAAGGUCCCUAAAUCUUACUUAAGUGGAAAACGAUGUGAAGUUACUUAAACAACCAGGAGGUUGGCUUAGAAGCAGCCAUCCUUUAAAGAAAGCGUAAUAGCUCACUGGUCUAGUGAUUUUGCGCGGAAAAUAUAACGGGGCUAAAGUAAGUACCGAAGCUGUAGACUUGCACACAACUUAGAUUAUUUAAGUUUAGAAUAUGAGAAACUAAGUUAUAUGUUUAGUUAUAUUUUUACUGAUUUUUAUAGAGUAAAGAUAGAAAUAAAACUUAGUAAAAUCAGUAAAAAUAUUCUUAGACUAAAGUUAAGUAGUUUAAGUUGUGUGCAAGUGGUAGGAGAGCGUUCUAUUUGCGUCGAAGGUAUACCGGUAAGGAGUGCUGGAGCGAAUAGAAGUGAGCAUGCAGGCAUGAGUAGCGAUAAUUAAUGUGAGAAUCAUUAACGCCGUAAACCCAAGGUUUCCUACGCGAUGCUCGUCAUCGUAGGGUUAGUCGGGUCCUAAGUCGAGUCCGAAAGGGGUAGACGAUGGCAAAUUGGUUAAUAUUCCAAUACCAACAUUAGUGUGCGAUGGAAGGACGCUUAGGGCUAAGGGGGCUAGCGGAUGGAAGUGCU
rnacentral:rRNA from 1 species